UNUGGAGUAAAAGGCUAUGGCUCAACCAUAGUGUGCUNUGGAAACUGUCUGACUUGAGUGCAGAAGGGGAGAGUGGAAUUCCAUGUGUAGCGGUGAAAUGCGUAGAUAUAUGGAGGAACACCAGUGGCGAAAGCGGCUCUNUGGUCUGUCACUGACGCUGAGGCUCGAAAGCGUGGGUAGCGAACAGGAUUAGAUACCCUGGUAGUCCACGCCGUAAACGAUGAGUGCUAGGUGUUAGGCCCUUUCCGGGGCUUAGUGCCGGAGCUAACGCAAUAAGCACUCCGCCUGGGGAGUACGACCGCAAGGUUGAAACUCAAAGGAAUUGACGGGGGCCCGCACAAGCGGUGGAGCAUGUGGUUUAAUUCGAAGCAACGCGAAGAACCUUACCAGGUCUUGACAUCCCGAUGCUAUUCUUAGAGAUAGGAAGUUACUUCGGUACAUCGGAGACAGGUGGUGCAUGGUUGUCGUCAGCUCGUGUCGUGAGAUGUUGGGUUAAGUCCCGCAACGAGCGCAACCCUUAUUGUUAGUUGCCAUCAUUAAGUUGGGCACUCUAGCGAGACUGCCGGUAAUAAACCGGAGGAAGGUGGGGAUGACGUCAAAUCAUCAUGCCCCUUAUGACCUGGGCUACACACGUGCUACAAUGGUCGGUACAACGAGUUGCGAGCCGGUGACGGCAAGCUAAUCUCUGAAAGCCGAUCUCAGUUCGGAUUGGAGGCUGCAACUCGCCUCCAUGAAGUCGGAAUCGCUAGUAAUCGCGGAUCAGCACGCCGCGGUGAAUACGUUCCCGGGCCUUGUACACACCGCCCGUCACACCACGAGAGUUUGUAACACCCGAAGUCGGUGAGGUAACCUUUUAGGGGCC
rnacentral:rRNA from 1 species